rnacentral:lncRNA from 1 species
GAAGAAAGAGACAUAUAAUUUUUGUUUCUAUYGUGACUUCUUACAAAACGUUUCUCCGAAUAGUCCCUGAACUGUCUCCUUCCUCCCAUGAAUGAACAGCACCUGCAUGCUUGUAUUUGCUGUCCUGCAUACUAUGAUCCAUGUAUCCAUUUAACGUAUGUGCUCUGCUCUGGGAAAUACACAGUACGAAUGAGAUCUGUGCUCYUUUGUUCAGCCAGGAACACCACAGUUCAAACUAAUAUACAAAGAUAAUAAAAUGUGAGCAAGACCUCUAGCUACCUAAAAAUGAAAGAAUGAAAGAAUGUUUAUGAAAGCAGAGGGAAGCAAAGGGGUAAACCUUUUUUAGAAGAAAACAAAUAAGAAAAAACUUAUCCUCAAAUCCAAAAUCAUUUUUCAGGAAAGGCAAUGUCAAAGUUAAAUCAGAUGUUCUUUUACAUCUCUCAGCCCAUCGUAGUAGAGGGAAUAUGAAACUGCUCUUGUUUGCUACCUAAUUUAUUAUGUGGUACCAGUGGAUCAGACUUUUUAGGCUUGGCAGGUCUGAAAUCUGGCAGCAAGAGAGCACAUUAAUAGACCUUUUUUUUUUUUUUUUUUUUUUUUUUCCCCAAAAUUGCAUUUCUGGAACUGGAUUCCCCAAUGGAGCUGGAGUUCUGAGCACUGUCAGCUGGGCAUACGUAAAUGUAGGAAAUGAAGGUUCAAGUUCCUGAUCCGGUGAGUAAGAGGAUGUACAUGACUUGUUUUAAAUGGU